AGAUGGCAUCAUUGUCCUAAAUAAAGGGGUCCCCCUCCGUCUGAUAUUGCCUUUAAAUGAGGUGACAAACAAUUAUCAUCGUAAUAACUGAUACAUUACAGAAGUUAAUGUUUAGCUUUUUGCAUGUUAGGUUCUUUAACAACGGUGCUAUAAUGAAUAGCCUUUAGAAUCAUUGUAAAGUUCUAUUUCCGUAAUGAAACGUGACUCCAAACUUGCGUAGCCAGUGUCUAAGCAACGACGCACAAUAACAUUGUAGCGCCGAAAAUAAAUAAUAUUUUUUGGCUCCAUUAGGAUUUUUUUACCAACUCCAAAUUACUGAGGGAAACUACGUCUACGAGGAUUUCAUUUGACAUUUUACCGAGUUGUUUUGUCUUCCGAGUCAUUGCUGGUGAAAAUGUAUGGUCGCGCUCCAAGAGUUACCUACCUCACCGUGGGCAGCACCACGUCCGAAGUUGGGCCAGGAUCAUACGAGGUCAUUCAAUACACAACAAAAAAAUCAGAUGGCUAUGCUCCAUUCCUCUCACUCUCCAACCGGCCCUCAAUGUUCCACAGGUCCAGCAAUGACAAAGCCUUGCCUGGACCGGGACAAUACAACAGCUCACAUAGCAAGGAUAACAUUCUGGGAGGACAAAGUCUAAAGAAUCGAUCAAAGCGGUUUGAUGAGGUGGUGUCAGAAGUCCCGGGCCCUGGAACGUACAACGUCCGGCAGGCAGCAGGAAACACACUGAGGGGAGCUGAGAGUGAGCCUCCGGGGAAGAGACGCACUAAGUGGCUUCAGGGUGUUCCUACUCGCCUCAAGUUCCUACCACAGCCAGACAUUCCUUCCAUCCCGUCACCUGGGCAGGCCUUUGGCUAUGAAGACAAUGGACAGGGAUUUCUUUGCAAGCAAAAGGCACCAGCAAAGGAUGAUACAUUAGGACCUGCUUUCUACAACCCAGUGGUGGCAGAAACCAGCUUCUCUCUGAAGUACAAAGGCGUCCAUUUUGGGAAGAUGACAGGGAAGCGAGGCGAGGUGAAGGGGUUAGAGGGCCCUGGACCAGGGCAAUAUGAUCCUGAAGAGUAUUCCACGACGGAGUACGAGAACGUCAAUGUGAGGAAGGGGCAGAAGAGUCGGGCCGAGCUGGUUGUCCCGCGCUACCACGAGAUUGUCACCUUGCAGGAGGAGAAGAAGGGAGUGCCAGGUCCAGGCCAGUACCACAUCAGGAGUCAGUUUGAGAAGCCAAGCAGCCUGUAUGGCAAUCUACCUGUCUUCAGCCCUCCUUUCCUCUCUCAGGCGCAGCGGUUCAGUCCUGUGAAGGAACUGGCUCCUCCUGUAGGUAUGUACAAUGACCCGCGCUGUGCUCUGGAUAUCCUCAAGAAGACCACUGGAAUGCAGAGAAAUCCCUUUGGCCUGACUGCUGUCCGGUUCCUUCCUGACAGCCGGAAACAGUCCACUCCAGGUCCUGGUGCCUAUAAUAUGUUUGAAUAUGGCCUGGCCCAGGACAGCAUAAAAAAGGCUUACCUAGAGAGUACCAGGAAGGGAGGCUUCGGUUCGACAGCCCAACGCAGUCUCGUGUUCCAUAACAAUGAAGAGGUCCCUGGGCCUGGCCAGUACAAGGUGGAGAAGAAGACAGAGGAGCUGUACAAGAAGCAGCACACAGCAGCAUUCAAGUCGGCCACAGAACGACUGGCCAUAUCCCUGGUGGCUAAAGACACCCCUCCUCCCAGUUCCUACAACGUGCGGGAGUCUUUUGAGAAAACGUACGGCCGUGCCUCCUUCUCAGAACCCAGGAGCGAGGGGGGCAGGAAACGCCAGAGCUCAUUCCUGAGCGCAGCACCCAGACACUCCUCUUUCUUGAGCUACGAUCCGGACUUCCCAGGUCCAGGUCAGUAUAGUCCUGACAUCAAGUCCAGUCCCCAGAUGGCUCUGAUCGUGUCCAGGGAGGAUCGCUUCAAAGUCCCCAAGAACACCAACCCCGGCCCAGGCACCUAUGAGCUCAGCCCAGCGAUCAUGGACACGGUUCUGAAGGGCACGUUCAACGUAACCCUCAACAACCCGCUGAGCAACCACUACCCUGCCCCUCACCUAUUGAGCACCAUGCCGCCGCCGCUCACCCUCAGCAGUGUAUAGAGCAGGGUCAAAGGGAGCUUUUUGGAGGAAACCACAGACUGCCCUGAUGUUUCAGCAUUGGGAAAAACAAUUAAAAUAAAUACAUGUUAAACAAUAAAUGUUUCUUUUACAUUAAUUUGUAAACACACUGAUAAUUCUUCAACAACCUUUAGAACAGGGGUAAAACUAGAUUGAGCUGCAGGCCAAUUUUUCCUGAGCGGGUGGUCAGGUGGGCUGAACAUAAUUUGUAUAAUUCAUACACUGCAAAUUGAUUGCAAGUAAGCCCGAAUAAGAUAUUGUAUUUGACAAUAACAUGAUAAUUUCAUACUUUUGAUUACAUUGAGACAUGCUCACAUCUCCCACUGGGCCCACCACCAUUUCAAUGUGGAUAAUUUGGUAAUAUUUGGUUGAGACGUUGUUCAAUGAGAUUAUAACCUAUAUUCACCCACUCAAAAAGACAGCCAAAAGUUAGUGGAUUUUCCAACGUGUUAUCACUGUGCUUUCAACCAUCUAAAAGCACAACCAAAUUCCAAUGGAAAAACAAUGUCCAACAUAUCAAUUAUCAAUAGACAAACUAGAAUUAAAGCCAGACUAAGUCAGUAUCACAGAUGGAACUAUCCAAGCAGAAGUUACAUAUAUUUGGUUGUGUUGACAACCAAACACAAUUCAAUAUCCAGUUUGUCUACAAAUGAAUAAUUGAUCUGUUGGAUUCACAUCUCCAUCUCAACCAAAAGUCACAGUUAAAGAAUACGACUAAAUAUAAUCUAAUUGAAUCAAACUUUAAAUUCACUUUAAGUAAUGUUUUAUUUGAAUUAGUUGUAUUCUUAACUUAGAUUUUUGGUUGAGAUUGAGAUGUGAAUCCAACAUAUUAAUGAUUAACAUGAAGAUUCCAUUUGAAAUCAACCAGAACCUGAAACCCUAGGCUUACUGUAUAUGUAUAGUCUAUUUGGAGUUGAAUCCUGGGAUGAAUUGAAACAAUAGCUGUUGAUGCCAUUGUAAAUAUUAUACAGGCCUAAAUAGUAUUAUUGGUGAUACAAGUAAUAGGGUAGUUGUAGAUAGAUCAAUUCUCCAGUAGGAGAUGCUUCCCAGUAAUAAGGUAGCUGUAGAUAGAUCAAUUCUCCAGUAGGAGAUGCUUCCCAGUAAUAAGGUAGCUGUAGAUAGAUCAAUUCUCCAGUAGGAGAUGCUUCCCAGUAAUAAGGUAGCUGUAGAUAGAUCAGGUUUCAGAUGAGGAGGUUUCAGAGGUCUGUCUCCAACAUCUGUUUGGAGGUUUCAGAGGUCUGUCUCCAACAUCUGCUUUGGAGGUUUCAGAGGUCUGUCUCCAACAUCUGGUUUCAGAGGUCUGUCUCCAACAUCUGUUUGGAGGUUUCAGAGGUCUGUCUCCAACAUCUGCUUUGGAGGUUUCAGAGGUCUGUCUCCAACAUCUGGUUUCAGAGGUCUGUCUCCAACAUCUGGUUUCAGAGGUCUGUCUCCAACAUCUGCUUUGGAGGUUUCAGAGGUCUGUCUCCAACAUCUGCUUUGGAGGUUUCAGAGGUCUGUCUCCAACCCUUGUUUUAGAGGUUUCAAGGCAAACAGAUUACCUUCAAAUAAAAGUCUCAUAACUUAUUUACCCAUUUGGAAACACUAAUAAGAUACUCUCGCUAAUCGUGUGGUUCCGCCCCUCUCUAGGCCACAUAGCACUCCUCUACGUCCCAAAUGGUGCCCUAUUCCCUAUCAUCCCAAACGGUGCCCUAUUCCCUAUAGUGAACUCAUUUUGAACAGGGUCUAUAGGGCUAUGGUCAAAAGUGGUGCACUAUGUAAGUGUACUCUUUGGGAAGCAGACCUUGUCUUAUUCUAGGCACAGUGCCCAACACUGGAUUCGUUUACGUCCAGCCACCGUACUUCUAAGUAGUCUGAAUAUGAAAUAGUAAGUGAUCCCUCAGUGCAUAUCCCAAAGUUCAUCUUACCUUGGAUAUUAGGACAGUAAAAUAUAGAUGGGUGUCUGAGCUCCCUGCUCAUUAUUGAUGUUGAAACAAUUGAUAUCCACAUCCAGGAUAUCAUGUCCAAAUUGUACUGUAUGUCUAUUUUGUUUGCUAAUAAAAACAUGUUUUAUUUUUUUCCUGUC